GGGGACAACAGUUGGAAACGACUGCUAAUACCGCAUACGAUCCAAUCUCGGCAUCGAGACUGGAUGAAAGGUGGCCUCUAUUUAUAAGCUAUCACUGAGGGAGGGGAUUGCGUCUGAUUAGCUAGUUGGAGGGGUAACGGCCCACCAAGGCGAUGAUCAGUAGCCGGUCUGAGAGGAUGAACGGCCACAUUGGGACUGAGACACGGCCCAG
rnacentral:rRNA from 1 species